CGUGUAGGCGGGUCGGUUAGUCCUCGGUGAAAUUUUCACCGCUUAACGGGAAAACUGCUGGGGAUACUGCCGGCCUAGAGGGCAUCAGAGGAGAGUGGAAUUCCAGGUGUAACGGUGGAAUGUACAGAUAUCUGGAAGAACACCAUUGGCGAAGGCGACUCUCUGGGAUGCUCCUGACGCUGAGGCGCGAAAGCCAGGGGAGCGAACG
rnacentral:rRNA from 1 species